UAGGGAAUCUUCGGCAAUGGACGCAAGUCUGACCGAGCAACGCCGCGUGAGUGAAGAAGGUUUUCGGAUCGUAAAACUCUGUUGUUAGAGAAGAACAAGGAUGAGAGUAAAAUGUUCAUCCCUUGACGGUAUCUAACCAGAAAGCCACGGCUAACUACGUGCCAGCAGCCGCGGUAAUACGUAGGUGGCAAGCGUUGUCCGGAUUUAUUGGGCGUAAAGCGAGCGCAGGCGGUUUCUUAAGUCUGAUGUGAAAGCCCCCGGCUCAACCGGGGAGGGUCAUUGGAAACUGGGAAACUUGAGUGCAGAAGAGGAGAGUGGAAUUCCAUGUGUAGCGGUGAAAUGCGUAGAUAUAUGGAGGAACACCAGUGGCGAAGGCGGCUCUCUGGUCUGUAACUGACGCUGAGGCUCGAAAGCGUGGGGAGCAAAUAGG
rnacentral:rRNA from 1 species